GAUUGUGUUCAUUAGGCACCAAACAGAAGAGAAUGGAACAGGUAUAACUGAACUUUUGGUUCAGAAGGUCAGGGUUGUGUUCAUUAGGCACCAAACAGAAGAGAAUGGAACAGGUAUAACCAAGCUUUUGGUUCAGAAGGUCAGGGUUGUGUUCAUUAGGCACCAAACAGAAGAGAAUGGAACCGGUAUAACCAAGCUUUUUGUUCAGAAGGUCAGGGUUGUGUUCAUUAGGCCGAGCUGGACUUCAGUUUUCCAUAGCAACACAUUUUUAAAACAUAUUAUUUUCGCUGCAGGGACGUUGUUGGACGGGGGAAGUGACUGUGUAUGUGGUGUUGUUCAUAAAGCUUAACGGUGUUGUGUCUCUCCCUACAGGUCUAGUAUUAGACAGUGUGUUGUCUCUCCCUACAGGUCUAGUAUUAGACAGUGUGUUGUCUCUCCCUACAGGUCUAGUAUUAGACAGUGUGUUGUCUCUCCCUACAGGUCUAGUAUUAGACAGUGUGUUGUCUCUCCCUACAGGUCUAGUAUUAGACAGUGUGUUGUCUCUCCCUACAGGUCUAGUAUUAGACAGUGUGUUGUCUCUCCCUACAGGUCUAGUAUUGGACAGUGUGUUGUCUCUCCCUACAGGUCUAGUAUUAGACAGUGUGUUGUCUCUCCCUACAGGUCUAGUAUUAGACAGUGUGUUGUCUCUCCCUACAGGUCUAGUAUUAGACAGUGUGUUGUCUCUCCCUACAGGUCUAGUAUUGGACAGUGUGUUGUCUCUCCCUACAGGUCUAGUAUUAGACAGUGUGUUGUCUCUCCCUACAGGUCUAGUAUUAGACAGUGUGUUGUCUCUCCCUACAGGUCUAGUAUUAGACAGUGUGUUGUCUCUCCCUACAGGUCUAGUAUUAGACAGUGUGUUGUCUCUCCCUACAGGUCUAGUAUUAGACAGUGUGUUGUCUCUCCCUACAGGUCUAGUAUUAGACAGUGUGUUGUCUCUCCCUACAGGUCUAGUAUUAGACAGUGUGUUGUCUCUCCCUACAGGUCUAGUAUUAGACAGUGUGUUGUCUCUCCCUACAGGUCUAGUAUUAGACAGUGUGUUGUCUCUCCCUACAGGUCUAGUAUUAGACAGUGUGUUGUCUCUCCCUACAGGUCUAGUAUUAGACAGUGUGUACAGGGUGUUGUCUCUCCCUACAGGUCUAGUAUUAGACAGUGUGUACAGGGUGUUGUCUCUCCCUACAGGUCUAGUAUUGGACAGUGUGUACAGGGUGUUGUCUCUCCCUACAGGUCUAGUAUUAGACAGUGUGUACAGGGUGUUGUCUCUCUCCCUACAGGUCUAGUAUUAGACAGUGACAGUGUGUACAGGGUGUUGUCUCUCUCCCUACAGGUCUAGUAUUGGACAGUGUGUACAGGGUGUUGUCUCUCUCCCUACAGGUCUAGUAUUGGACAGGGACAGUGUGUACAGGGUGUUGUCUCUCUCCCUACAGGUCUAGUAUUGGACAGGUACAGGGUGUACAGGGUGUUGUAUCUCCCUAAAGGUCUAGUAUUGGACAGUGACAGUGUGUACAGGGUGUUGUAUCUCCCUAAAGGUCUAGUAUUAGACAGUGACAGAGUGUACAGGGUGUUGUGUCUCUCCCUGCAGGUCUAGUAUUGGACAGUGUGUACAGGGUGUUGUCUCUCCCUACAGGUCUAGUAUUAGACAGUGUGUACAGGGUGUUGUCUCUCUCCCUACAGGUCUAGUAUUGGACAGUGACAGUGUGUACAGGGUGUUGUCUCUCCCUACAUGUCUAGUAUUGGACAGUGUGUACAGGGUGUUGUGUCUCUCCCUACAGGUCUAGUAUUAGACGGGGACAGUGUGUACAGGGUGUUGUCUCUCUCCCUACAGGUCUAGUAUUAGACAGUGACAGUGUGUACAGGGUGUUGUCUCUCCCUACAGGUCUAGUAUUAGACAGUGACAGUGUGUACAGGGUGUUGUCUCUCCCUACAGGUCUAGUAUUAGACAGUGACAGUGUGUACAGGGUGUUGUCUCUCCCUACAGGUCUAGUAUUGGACAGUGUGUACAGGGUGUUGUGUCUCCCUACAGGUCUAGUAUUAGACAGUGACAGUGUGUACAGGGUGUUGUCUCUCCCUACAGGUCUAGUAUUAGACAGUGACAGUGUGUACAGCGUGUUGUUCAUAAGGCUUAACGUUGUGUC